rnacentral:misc_RNA from 1 species
CGAGCGAGGGCGCCCCCGCGCGCCCGACCUCCCAACCCUGUGCGUCUCGACCCUGUUGCCUCGGGGGCCGACCCCGGUCGCCCCCGUGGGACCUUGAUUCAAUACUGCAUCCGGGCGUCGGAGUAUGGAAGCGAAUCCAUCAAAACUUUCAACAACGGAUCUCUUGGUUCUCGCAUCGAUGAAGAACGCAGCGAAAUGCGAUAAGUAAUGUGAAUUGCAGAAUUCAGUGAAUCAUCGAAUCUUUGAACGCACAUUGCGCCCUUUGGUAUUCCGGAGGGCAUGCCCGUUCGAGCGUCAUUACACCACUCGAGCCCGGCUCGGUGUUGGGCGGCGGGGUCUCCCCCCCGUGCCCCCAUGUCGUCGGCCGGACGGUCGGAAUCUCGGCGUUGUGAAACCAUUCGCCCACGAUGACGGCCGGCCGUGCCGCAACCCCCUUUCAUUCAGGUUGACCUCGGAUCGGGUAGGGAUACCCGCUGAACUUAAGCAUAUCAAUAAGCGGAGGA